CAACGAUCGAAGCAGCUACAGCGAGUUCACCAGUUUGUUUCAGUUUCAACUAUGGUUCUGAAAGUCAGUUUUCUUCUUCUCCUUAUCGUCUGUGCUAUCAUUCCCCCAUCAUCCUCUGCGCUAUCAGGCAACUUGUCCAAACGUGAUGAUUUGAUAAUUAGCUGAACUUCUAAGUUUAAAAAGCCUUGCACCACUAGCGAAGACUGCAUCUAUGCAGGGUCCUUGACGUAAUGGACCUUGGGAUGUUUUGAGGAAUGCCACAAUGGUCUAUUUCGAUGUCUGCAAUAUCAUCACCAUAAUACGAAAUAAGUGAUCGCUGAAUACCGGAAAAAAACCGUAAUGGAGUGCAGAUUUAUAUAUACAAAUUGAUUUUUCAGAUCCUUUGUUUAUUCGUUUACCA